rnacentral:rRNA from 1 species
CGAGUCUGAAUAGGGCGACUAGUUGCAUGCCGUAGACCCGAAACCGGGUGACCUAUCCAUGGCCAGGUUGAAGCGAGGGUAAAACCUCGUGGAGGACCGAACCACGUUGCUGUUGAAAAAGCAUGGGAUGAGCUGUGGAUAGCGGAGAAAUUCCAAUCGAACCCGGAGAUAGCUGGUUCUCUCCGAAAUAGCUUUAGGGCUAGCGUCGAGUAUGAGUAGUGGAGGUAGAGCACUGAAUGGGCUAGGGGGCAUAGCGCUUACCGAACCUUAUCAAACUCCGAAUGCCACAUACUUUGAGCUCGGCAGUCAGACUACGAAUGAUAAGAUCCGUGGUCAAAAGGGAAACAGCCCAGAUCGUCAGCUAAGGUCCCAAAGUGUAAGUUAAGUGGGAAAGGAUGUGAGAUUUCUAAGACAACUAGGAUGUUGGCUUAGAAGCAGCCAUUCAUUAAAAGAGUGCGUAAUAGCUCACUAGUCGAGAGAUCUUGCGCCGAAAAUGUAACGGGGCUAAACUUACCACCGAAGCUACGGGCUUGAACAUAGUUCAAGCGGUAGGAGAGCGUCGUAACCGGGCUGAAGUCGUACCGUAAGGAGCGGUGGACUGGUUACGAGUGAGAAUGUUGGCAUCAGUAGCGAGAUGUGGGUGAGAAUCCCACAGGCCGAAAACCUAAGGUUUCCUCAGGAAGGUUCGUCCGCUGAGGGUUAGUCGGGACCUAAGCCGAGGCCGAAAGGCGUAGGUGAUGGACAACUGGUUGAUAUUCCAGUACCACUACCAUCGUUAUUAUCGAUGGCGUGACGCAGGAGGAUAGUGUGUGCUAGCUAUUGGAUGCUAGUCUAAGCGUUUAGGCAGUGAGAGUAGGCAAAUCCGCUCUCAUAAUGCUGAGGCGUGAUGGGGAAGGUUCCACGGAACCGAAGUACAUGAUUCCACGCUGCCAAGAAAAGCGUCUAGAGAGAGAAGUAGUGCCCGUACCGCAAACCGACACAGGUAGGUGAGGAGAGAAUCCUAAGGCCGGCGGAAGAAUUACAGUUAAGGAACUCGGCAAAUUGACCCCGUAAGUUCGCGAGAAGGGGUGCCUACGAGAGUAGGCCGCAGAGAAUAGGCCCAAGCAACUGUUUAGCAAAAACACAGGUCUCUGCUAAAGCGUAAGCUGAUGUAUAGGGGCUGACGCCUGCCCGGUGCUGGAAGGUUAAGGGGAACACUUAGCGCAAGCGAAGGUGUGAACUUAAGCCCCAGUAAACGGCGGCCGUAACUAUAACGGUCCUAAGGUAGCGAAAUUCCUUGUCAGGUAAGUUCUGACCCGCACGAAUGGCGUAAUGACUUGGGCACUGUCUCAACUGUAAAUCCGGCGAAGUUGUAGUGCGAGUGAAGAUGCUCGCUACCCGCGAUUGGACGGAAAGACCCCGUAGAGCUUUACUGUAGCUUAGCAUUGAGUUUUGGUAUUGUCUGUACAGGAUAGGUGGGAGACUAGGAAACCAGGGCGUCAGCCUUGGUGGAGUCAACCUUGGGAUACCACCCUGACAGUACUGAAAUUCUAACUGGCGGCCAUGAAUCUGGUCACAGGACAUUGUUAGGUGGGCAGUUUGACUGGGGCGGUCGCCUCCUAAAAAGUAACGGAGGCGCCCAAAGGUUCCCUCAGAACGGUCGGAAAUCGUUCGAAGAGUGCAAAGGCAGAAGGGAGCCUGACUGCGACACCCACAAGUGGAGCAGGGACGAAAGUCGGGCUUAGUGAUCCGGUGGUACCUCGUGGGAGGGCCAUCGCUCAACGGAUAAAAGCUACCUCGGGGAUAACAGGCUGAUCUCCCCCAAGAGUCCACAUCGACGGGGAGGUUUGGCACCUCGAUGUCGGCUCGUCGCAUCCUGGGGCUGAAGUAGGUCCCAAGGGUUGGGCUGUUCGCCCAUUAAAGCGGCACGCGAGCUGGGUUCAGAACGUCGUGAGACAGUUCGGUCCCUAUCCGUCGCGGGCGUAGGAAAUUUGAGAGGAGCUGUCCUUAGUACGAGAGGACCGGGAUGGACUGACCUCUGGUGUACCAGUUGUUCCGCCAGGAGCACAGCUGGGUAGCUAAGUCGGGAAUGGAUAAACGCUGAAAGCAUCUAAGCGUGAAGCCAACCU